rnacentral:lncRNA from 1 species
CACUCGUCACCUAGCAACAACCAAAUAAAAGCGCCAGCAUUCAGUUGCUUCACGGUUUCUUGCAUUAGCCGAGGCGUCCUCACACUCUCGCACACAUAUAAACGUGUCUUUGCCAUCAUUAUGCAAAUAUGGACGCAAGAUAUAACCUCACACCCGAAAUGAAUACACAAGAUGACUACUUUUGGUGUGGAAAAUGGUUUGAAGACAGAGGCUCAGAAAUGUGCCACCUCUCUCACAAUAGCCGGAGAGGCCUAUCAUUUCACGGUGUGUUAGGAGAGGCUGGAAACGCUCUCUGGCGGGCGUUUGUCCGGAGGGCCUGAUAUCACACACACGCGGAAUGAUAACUCUCCGAAAAAAGACAAAUCUCCUGCUGAUCACACGCUAAAGGGAAUAGCCUGGAACAAGGGAGAUAAAAGAGAAAUCUCCCUAUACCUUCACAUUUGCUUAAUGUUGGCUGUAGCUGCUGAAGCUCAACGCUGGGCCUUAUCCAGGCGGUGCGAUUAAUCCCUCACAGCACGUCAUCUCUACCAUCACUUCCGCCCUGUUCAACAACACACACACACGUCAGGUCAGAUACAAGUUACAGCAUAUACCCUGCAUGGGCAAAACAAAAAGCAUUGUAUAAAUGUUAAGCCUAGAGAAAAUGUUGCCAUUUUAGCUCAAAGAUUGUAGCUUGCACAUUUGAUGGAGUAUAGUGGCGUCAUUUUUUUUUCAACUCCAGAACUUCAGUCAAACAUGGUCUUGUUUUAGAGUUCUCUUCUUUUAAAGUUAUUUUUUGUCAU